GUUUCCAUGACCUCAGAUUGGAUAAAGUUUUCUCUCCCCCACAAUAUCACCUGAAUCUUGCAUUUGAGAAUCUUAAUUUUAAGAUUUAAUUCAGCAAUUUUAUUUGGAAUUCGUACAGGCAUUGGUUUUCCACAGCUGUCUGCUUUCCCCCUGCUGGGUACAAACCUGGGCUCCUCACUGCCUGAGAGGCGAACACAGGCACACAAGAGAUGUUGAGAUGCUGCCUCCCUGAACCCAAAGCAGAGAACUUUCUGCUGCCCCCACACCUCGGCACCAGAGUAACUGUUACUGUCUGCCAACAGUAACAGUGGAUUUCACCUCAAACUGUUUCUCCUACUGACCUGAUCUCUGGGCUUCUUGAGAAUGCUUUCCCCUCAGCGGCUGGAGCUGUUUGGAGAAGUUGUGGAGGUGUUAAGUACAGCCUAGCUGAGGGAAGUGAGUAUCUAUCCAUCGGGUGGACACAGACCUUGAGCUUUAGAGCUGGCUCCAUUUAUUUCCCUGUUUUCGCUUCCUUCAGAGAUCUGUGAGUUCCUGACAGAAGGUGUCCAGCUUGUUUCUCUGCUCUGAUGGUUACCCAUCUGCCCACAUGGAUAAACUGAGUCACGACAAUGAAUGGAGCAAACAGGGAGCCAAGGCAGGAGAUGAUCUGUGCGACUCCAGACUCUGGAACCUCAAACAUCUUACAGAAAAAUAGGUCCUUGGACGGGACUGUUCUGGGCUAACAGUCUCGGAAGCCUGACUCGAGACAGCCUUCUACAAACAGAGGACAGAAAUGGAUGCUGGGGCUCUAAUCACAGAAGGAAUCCUUAAUAAAACUAUGUAUCACCUAA